UAUCAGUGAUAGAUUUUUUUGCUUGGGUCGUCGGCGGGUUCGCCGGCCGCGGUCGGUGCUGGCGUCCUGUCUAGUUUGCUCGCCUGAUCGGUCCCAUGAGAGUGGCUGCGCCAGUGGCUCUCGUUGACAACGUACAUCAGUAACCUCAGGAAGUCGUUCCUCGCGAACCACAUCGCAACGCCGGCUGUAGCGGCAGCCAUCCGGCCGUUCCCCUUUGCCGUGUGGUAGGUCGUCCCCGGUGAAUCUGCAAUCUCCUCCGAUCCCCGCGUUGUUGAGCGGAGUUUCUGCAUCCAGCAAAAGCGGUGGCGACUCUUAUCCAUCCCCAUUUUCCCUUGACCCUGUGUUUGUACGAACAGGUGCAUAUCUUUCCUUUGCCUUACCAUGUCCUCUCUCUAUGAAAUAAAUUUCAGGCAUGCAUAGCACGGUUAUCAAAUUACUGUUUCUAAUAUUUUAUCUAGCAAUUAGACUCUUGGAAUUUUCUAUUAUUUGUUAAAUCAGAUCUGAAUUGCUAGGGAAGAAAGAAAGGUUAUAGUAAUUGAUAAAAGCACAUACGUGAUGCAUACAUAACUGAUAUUGAUUUUUGUCAAAUCAGUUGUGAGCCCUCCAUCAGGUAUCUGUGUGAAUACAUUGUCUUAUGAAUGUAUUUUCACUAUUUUGAAAAUAAAGUACAGUGGCCGUCCUCUUACAGUCAGAGAGAGCUUAAAUAUAGUUCAAUCUUCAGAGAAACACCAUAAAAAAAGUCAAGGGCCCAAGCUCACAAACACUAUAUUUGGGUUUGUUAAAUGGAUGCAUCAAAACAUUGAGUUUGCUAGAAAUUCUAAAAUCAGACUAAAUUAAAUAAUGACUAUAGACUAUAUACGAAUAUAAUAAGAUACCCAAAAGUAAAUAAAUUUCGUUCUGUUAAAAUAUUUCAGAUAUAUCAAUUUGAAACCAAAUAAGGCUGCUAUGUCUGCAUCACAUUAUAUUUAGUCAUAUCAGAAUGCUUGUAACAAAAUCUAUAAUAUAUCCUUGUAAACAAUGUUUUUUGCAACCUUGUCGGAUGGACGCUCUUCAUCUGAGAUGAGUAUCUUCAAUCCAUUUCUGCUGGUCACCCUUGACAUUGCAACAUAGAGUUGUCCAUGUGUGAACACUUGCCUUUUUAAGUAGAGUCCAACUUUUUUGAGAGAUUGCCCCUGGCUUUUGUUUAUAGUCAUAGCAAAGCACACUGAUAUUGGGUAUUGUCUCCUUUUCAGAAUGAAAGGCCAUUUUGAAUCACUUGGUGACAUGAUAAUUUGUGGGAUGUAAACUUUGUCACCAACGUUAGGACCUAUUAUGACCUGGCCUUCAAUGAAACGCUUUCCUAGCUGUGUUAUUGUUAGUCUUGUCCCAUUGCAAAGUCCUGCACUUUGAUUGAUGUUCCUCAUAAGCAUUAUUGGUAAUCCUACUUUCAGCCUCAGUUCAUGGUCUGGUAUUUCAGAAAAUGUAAGACUAUUCAGAAACUCAGUUGGGUACAACAUAUCUUCAUCUUCCACCGUAGACAUUGCCUUGCAUGUUGUAUCUGAAUUGAAAUAGGCUACCUCUUCUCCAGGGAUUUGACUCAUGAUGUAGGCAUUAAUCUGGUCAACAGUCUCGUUUCAUGGGCACAAGAUCGCUCUUUCCUCAAGGCUCUCUGUACUGAAGAGGAAACUGAAAUAUGCGUCAUGCGGCUUCACAUCCAGAUAUGUACCGGGCAUCAAGGUACCUCUUGAUUUCGUCGUCCUUGUUUGUUAAUUUGCUAGCUCUUGUUUCACUUUGUUGGUCUUCCGCUUCUAUCAAGACGGUUGUUCGAUCUUCUCCUUUAUGGAUGUAUUUGAAUAAAUACUUUAUAGACCUUGAUCUGUUGCACCACUCAACAUUUAUGUGGGCUUGAUACUUGACCAGUAGGUUUCUAUUGUAUGGCACAACAAAUCUAUUGUCUAGCUUCACUCCAUUCUUGUCCACAGUGUUGCCAUCAUCUCGCCUUCUAUAUACUGGAUAGUUAUCUUCAUCUAUGGUAGUCUCAGUGCAAAAAUUCUUGGGGAAAUGUUUGGCACAACUUUUAUCGACCAUGCAUGGUGAUUUUGGGUGUGCUUGACCACAUGGACCAUGUAUCAUGUAAUUUUGCACUGCUUCGUACCCUUCUGGAUCACUAUUCUUAUCAGGAAUUUCGGCUGAUAUGAUUUUGUCGAUCUGGGAAGGACUUGGAUCUUUAUCAUCUGGGUGUAGAAACACCAGUAUGUGUGCAUGCGGGGGGCCUCUUUUCUGGAACUCUAUAGUGUAGACAACUUUAUGAAAGUAAACAAAUUUGAGAAGAAAUGAGUUAGGACAAUCAUCUAGGAAAGAGUGAAUAUGUACUUAUUAGGUAAACUUACUUGCAAUUGUUUGUCCAAAACACUUUCCGUUCUUUAUGUCAUUCAUAAGUUCCUUCAGUUUUAACAUGAAUACUCUGGCAACGAUAUCUGGACGAUCUUCAGAUUUCUGGCCUGGAAUCAGAUCCAACAUAUCUUGUAUUUCCAGCCAUUUUGGAUUGCAUGUAGAAGUAAUGAAGAGAUCAGGAUAGCCAGCCCAAGGACAAAUCGCCAUGGCAUCUUGGUAGUUUUGCCGCUUAUUUCUUGGACUGCCAUUAUAUGAUGAGGGUAGUAUGAUUCUUUGUCCAACUUGUUCGGCUCGUGUAUCUCCAUUUUCUAUUGCAUCAUGCAGUCCUCUGUACAGUUCUGUCCUCAACUUACCUUGGUUUGUCCUGUACCAAUUUAGUCUCCACUGUUCAAUGCACGUUGCUGCAUCAACUAAAAACUGCAGGAACAAACGUCCACUCAUUUGCAAUGUUGAAGCUUGGUUCAGACGUUGUUGUAUGCGAUACGCAUAAAACUCCAGCAUUGUUACAUACUUUCUUUUACCUUUGCUGCCUCUUUUAUUUUCAUACUCUAUUUCUGGUCUGAAACCAUCUUCUCCAUAUGGAAAAAGCAAGGGGUACUGCAUUGACAUAUAGCUUGGGUGCAACUCUGAAAUCCUCUGUAACAUUCUGUCUUUGGUCUCAACUAUUAUAUCAAAUUCAUUAUUUUCUCCACCUUGUUCCCCAAUAAUUAGUGCUGCGACUUCUGAGGCAGAUGGUAGGUUGUAUUGUCGUCCAUCUUUCGACCUUAGUCUUACAUCUUUAAUACGUCGGUUUUGGAAUCUGUCCCUUGCCAUACGAAAUGAUUUGACUAAAACAUUGUGCUCAUCAAGCAUCUCCAGUAGUCCUUUGACAAUGUUUUCAUCUGGUUGUGUCUUACUCUCCGUUGAAGCAGAUGCAUUAAUCCUAUUCCGCACUUCAUUUUCUGUGUCAUGUAUGUACAAUUGGGCAAAUUUUGGUUUCGUCACAUCAUCCUUAGGAAGUAAAGUGCCAAUCUGAUGGUAAUUAUGGCCAUUCAAACGGAAAACAUAUGGUCCAGAUGCCUGCUUAUUAAUUUCAUAGUCAACCUUUUCUCCCAUUGAAGUGAAUGCGAACAUCGAGGUGUACAACCUGAUGUUCUGGCGGAAAUUUGAUGAUUCUCCUCUUUCAUUGUAACGUAGUAGCUGUCGGAGAUACAGCGGAGCUUGCUUCAGUGGUGGUAAUUUAACUUUCCCUUCCUUGCAGCAGAGACCAAAUUUUGGAACUGUGAUGUUACCUGUGCUUGUGCUUCUCUCUCCAUGCCACAUAAUGGCACCAGAUAUGAAACUUGAGUGACAUCCUUCGCUACAUUAGAUACUUCACAGUCAUUGCCCUUUUCUGUCCUUAGUCGUUUGCUUGCCUUUUUCAGCUGGAGGAUCUCUUUCCUUUUACGCCUAGCUUCCUUUGCUGCUGCUCUAAUGAUGUCUGAUUGACUAUCAUUAGAUUCGAGUGUUGCUAGUUUAGAGGCUGCUUGCUCAGGUAUUUGGAUUCCUUGAUGAUGCCACAUAUUCCUGCAUUUUAUUUUGUUAUCAUUUUAAUAAUCCAGGUAAAUUAAUAUUUAUAUGAUUAUUUUUGGUAUUGUGGUAAAGAAUACCUUCCGUUGUUUUGAUUUGCUCUAGUGCGUGUUCGACGCAUGUUGACUGCGGCUAGUGAAUCCUGAAAUAAUGAGGUAAAAAGUGUAACUGAUUUUAUUCUGAGAUAUAAGUGAGGGCAUCUUAUACGUAACUGAUUUUAUUUGUCCAGAAAUUUAGAAUUGCUGAUGAUAAAUUUAAUGUAAACAUGUCAGGCACCACAUUGUUUGCAAGGAUGCUGAAGGUAUUUGUAUGGAACAGAUAGUUUCCUGAUAAGAUUCUUUUUUGUAUGGAUUGUUUUCCAACAAAGGCUUUUAAAUCGUCUAAAAUCAUUAUUCUAUUGUGAAAGAAGGAUACUUGUGUUGUCACCUUCCAAUGAGAGGACGUAUAUGCUCUGUAAUUGGUGAUCUGAAUCUCAAGUUUAUCGCCACUUUCUCUCUGUAAUUCAAGUUAAUACAAAGCAUGUGUAAUGAGAUCGGAGAGUUGAUGUAUAUAUUAAUCAUUGCAGGAGACAUGCAUAUAUUAUUUGUGGAAGGAGAUAAUGAACGUUGGCUGCAAGUACGGCCACGCAGCCUGUCUGCUCCUUGCUGCUUGCGAGAGGAGGGCAAUGUCUUGCCGGGAUGUGCACGCUCUGUAAUUGGUGAUCUGAAUCCCAAGUUUAUCGGCGCUUUCUCUCUGUAAUUCAAGUUAAUACAAAGCAUGUGUAAUGAGAUCGGAGAGUUAAUGCAUAUAUUAAUCAUUGCAAGGAGACAUGCAUGUAUUAUUUGUGGAAGGAGAUAAUGAACAUUACCUGCAAGUACUGUCACACAACCUGUCUGCUCCUUGUUGCUGGCGAGAGGACUAAUUAUUGCAUGUAUGUGAUGAAGGAUGAGAUCAGGGGCGAUGUCUUGCCUUGAUGCGUACGAAUUGAGUCGAUAUAGAAUUCUUAUUUGUAAAGAAGCGUAGUUAAGGCUAGAGUUUGUAGGUUAGAGUUUGUCAUCUGUACAUUUUAAACCUAUACAAUAUCUGAGCCGUUAUUAUUUUGUGUCACCAGAUAGAUGGCUCCUACUUGAAGUCAGUUUCCAUGUAUACUAAAAUAUAUGCACGUCUCUGUUUCUUA